rnacentral:rRNA from 1 species
UACGAAGGGGGCGAGCGUUGUUCGGAAUUACUGGGCGUAAAGGGCGCGCAGGCGGCUCUGAAAGUCAGAUGUGAAAGCCCCGGGCUUAACCUGGGAAUUGCAUUUGAUACUCUGGAGCUUGAGUACGGGAGAGGAGAGUGGAAUUCCCAGUGUAGAGGUGAAAUUCGUAGAUAUUGGGAAGAACACCGGUGGCGAAGGCGGGUCUCUGGGCAAUAACUGACGCUGAGGAGCGAAAGCGUGGGGAGCGAACAGG